GAUGAACGCUGGCGGCGUGCCUAAUACAUGCAAGUCGAGCGAACAGACGAGGAGCUUGCUCCUCUGACGUUAGCGGCGGACGGGUGAGUAACACGUGGAUAACCUACCUAUAAGACUGGGAUAACUUCGGGAAACCGGAGCUAAUACCGGAUAAUAUAUUGAACCGCAUGGUUCAAUAGUGAAAGACGGUUUUGCUGUCACUUAUAGAUGGAUCCGCGCCGCAUUAGCUAGUUGGUAAGGUAACGGCUUACCAAGGCAACGAUGCGUAGCCGACCUGAGAGGGUGAUCGGCCACACUGGAGCUGAGACACGGUCCAGACUCCUACGGGAGGCAGCAGUAGGAAAUCUUCCGCAAUGGGCGAAAGCCUGACGGAGCAACGCCGCGUGAGUGAUGAAGGUCUUCGGAUCGUAAAACUCUGUUAUUAGGGAAGAACAAAUGUGUAAGUAACUAUGCACGUCUUGACGGUACCGAAUCAGAAAGCCACGGCUAACUACGU
rnacentral:rRNA from 1 species